rnacentral:rRNA from 1 species
GAUGAACGCUGGCGGCGUGCCUAAUACAUGCAAGUCGAGCGAACAGACGAGGAGCUUGCUCCUCUGACGUUAGCGGCGGACGGGUGAGUAACACGUGGAUAACCUACCUAUAAGACUGGGAUAACUUCGGGAAACCGGAGCUAAUACCGGAUAAUAUAUUGAACCGCAUGGUUCAAUAGUGAAAGACGGUUUUGCUGUCACUUAUAGCUGGAUCCGCGCCGCAUUAGCUAGUUGGUAAGGUAACGGCUUACCAAGGCAACGAUGCGUAGCCGACCUGAGAGGGUGAUCGGCCACACUGGAGCUGAGACACGGUCCAGACUCCUACGGGAGGCAGCAGUAGGGAAUCUUCCGCAAUGGGCGAAAGCCUGACGGAGCAACGCCGCGUGAGUGAUGAAGGUCUUCGGAUCGUAAAACUCUGUUAUUAGGGAAGAACAAAUGUGUAAGUAACUAUGCACGUCUUGACGGUACCUAAUCAGAAAGCCACGGCUAACUACGUG